UGACUCUCGGCAACGGAUAUCUCGGCUCUCGCAUCGAUGAAGAACGUAGCGAAAUGCGAUACUUGGUGUGAAUUGCAGAAUCCCGUGAACCAUCGAGUCUUUGAACGCAAGUUGCGCCCCAAGCCUUCGGGCCGAGGGCACGUCUGCCUGGGUGUCAC
rnacentral:rRNA from 1 species